CGGCAACUGUGUAAAAUAGGCAACCAGAUAUUCGAAUAGUUCGAAUUCGUGAUUUUUUUCCAAACGAACAUUCGAAUGUCAUUUUUGAGCAAUUUUGACAGCCCUACUGGAGAUAGAAUUUUUUUCUGACAUUUAAUUUUUCUAUUACCGGACAACGGAAACCCAACGGAACAGCUCAUAUCACGUGGCUGGAUCUGGACUGGAAGGAUGAUGGGACAGGGGAAGGGCGUCUCACGCUUCUGUCUACUCACAACACGCGACAGGUUUGUGGCUUUGAGUGUCGCGAUUUUGGUUUCGAUACGCAUAUCGUUACAGCCCUACUGACCAUAAUAUGAAGCUGUCCAUCACCCUAAAAGCCACUAAAGGAAGCACCCAUUUCAACCAAAUUCUACUCAUGGGAAUUGAGUCAAGUUAUGGGAACACGAUUUGAUGCUCCAUACUGAAAUCACUCUGGACAAUGCACUCACCAUUUGAGGUUCUUGCGUUCAGGGUUGAUUUGUGCUUCGUUGUGGAAAGCACGAAGCUUGGCCACCAAGUCGGUGGAGUCCUGUGCUGCAUUCACAGCAAGGGUUUUGGGGAUGACCAGGAGGGAGCGGGCAAACUCUGCAAUGGCCAACUGCUCCCGGGAACCCUGAAGAAACAAGUCUUAACGCAUAACUACACAAAACUAUGCAAGCAUGUCCAUAGGCAUCUCCCCCACUUCUUGAAAAAAUACUAAAUUUGAGCGUUUUUUGAGUGGGGAUAAAAACUAGACAUGUGCCAUCAUUGCAUUUAGACGUAGCAGAGUGGAGGCCGCCAAAACAUCCUCAGACAACGAUGGACAGUCACUCUAUCCCGUUAGCAUAGCCACUCAUCUCUGGGGAGUCAGAUGAGCGGUAGUAAAACAGGAAUGGUUGAUUUUUUUUUUCAGAUGCAUCUAGAUUUUUAUCUAUGAUCACAGCACACAAUAUCUUAAAGCUUCUGCAUCUUCAUUCACACCACUGAAGUCCUCAUUUUGGCGAAGAUAGAGGGGUGGGGUCUCACCAUGCUAGUGGCAUAGUUCUCCAGGUAGAUGGACAGUGCUGCCUCCACAGCACCUCCUCCUGGCACCACAGACUUGGACUCCAGGACCCUCUUGACCACACACAGGGCGUCAUGCAGGGAGCGCUCCAU